rnacentral:lncRNA from 1 species
UUCUAGGUUGGGUUUGAUCUCUGUGACGGUUUGCGGUGGGGUUCGCGAGCUCCAGCCUAAGAAUUGGUGUCAUGUCUUAGUCGCAAACGAGCUAUCCUUGCUAGCGUUGGAUUUAGUAGGUAGUUUAUGUUUUCGGUGUACUGCCCGUUUUCAGAUCUCUUUUCCAACAGUCUCCUUCUUUUUUCCUAUAAUAUUUGUGAUUUC